UCGUGGUUGCCAGUCCUUGCGCCCUCGGGAGCAAAGCCAAUAUGGAUCGUCGCGCUGUUGCCAGUAAGCACCUUACCGUGCGGAAAGCAGGCCCUGGGACCAGGUCCCUGUGGUGCGGCCUUCGGGCUGCCGGCGGGCUGUUCUAACCCUCUGUUUAUGUAUACCUUUGUAGCUUCCUCGGCGGGCUUGCCCGCCGCUAGGAACCAACUAUAACCUUUUGCAUUAGCAUCUAAACUUCUGAUAAAAAACUUAAUUAUUACAACUUUUAACAAUGGAUCUCUUGGUUCUGGCAUCGAUGAAGAACGCAGCGAAAUGCGAUAAGUAGUGUGAAUUGCAGAAUUCAGUGAAUCAUCGAAUCUUUGAACGCACAUUGCGCCCCUCGGUAUUCCGUGGGGCAUGCCUGUUCGAGCGUCAUUUACACCCUCAAGCUCUGCUUGGUGUUGGGCGUCUGUCCCGCGUUUCCGCGUGGACUCGCCUCAAAGUCAUUGGCAGCGGUCUUUGCCAGCUUCUUGCGCAGCACAAUUGCGCUCACAGGGGCUCUGGCGGAUCGGCGUCCAUCAAGCUAUUCUAUGACUUGACCUCGGAUCAGGUAGGGAUACCCGCUGAACUUAAGCAUAUCAAUAAGCGGAGGAA
rnacentral:rRNA from 1 species